GGCGAGAACCUGAGCCUCGCUUUCCCAAAGAGAAAGAUGAAUCCGCAGAGUAGCUCUUGCCACAGCAGAAGGGACAUGUGUUCUGGGAACUGCAGAGGCAAAAUGUGUCAUGGGAAAAUCUCAACGGAUUCAGCCCAGGACGAGAAUAUGCAAAUUGAUGCAAAAUUAAAUGCAACUGAACAAGAUAACACAUAUCCCAGCAAUGAAGAAAACUCACAGCAUACUUGCAAAAAAGAUGGAGUUUAAAUCCAAGGGGGAUAUGAAGAUGUCUAAGCAGUCCCCAGUGACUGUAUUUUGGCAGGAAUAUGAAGGUUUUCCUAAAAGGAGUCAAGAAAGUGCUGCAGAAAUGAAGUAACUGAAGUGCAAGGGUCAGUUACAGAACUACAUAGAAGACGUGUAACCCAGCCCUCCUGCGUAACAAACCAGGGCCCAACACAAAACCUUCUGCAGGGCCACGCUGGCCCAUCACCUGCCUUCCCAACCCUAACCUUUCCAUGACUCCGUGAUUCACAGUGGCGGCGCUAGCUGCGCUGUCGGCAACAAGAGAACAUUUUGGGAGCUAGAAACUACUGACGCCAUCCCUGUGCCACUGGGGUGAGGAACCCACAGCACUGCACUGGUUCCACAACAGCACAGGCUGCCCCGCUCCACCACUGGAAGCAAACAGCUAUCCAGACUGAAGGUUAAGAAGACUGAAUGUGGUGGCUUUGUUCCAAAACCAGCUCCAUUUCCCUACCUGGAAGUGGGACAACAGUGAAAUCAGAAAUUACAGCCUUAUUUAAUAUCUGCAGAUUUGGCUCUACUGUCAUUGCCCCCAGUCACAGUAUUAUCAGGUAGCAGCAUUCAUCUCAGGUGCUCAGCAUCCCUUCCAUACCCCGGAGAGACCAUGCCCUUAUUAAAGGUCUUGUUUAUAGACAGGGAAACCGAGGCAAAGAGCCAUGAUUCAAGUCCACAGAAAUCAGUGGCAGACCAUCCAGAGCCCCCGACUAGACCCAUCAGACCUAGUAACUUUUCCAGCUAUUAUAAAAGGGAAGAGGGCAGGAGUGCUCUUAGGGGCUAACUGGAAGCAGAUGAAUCCCUAGAAAUCUUCCUGUCCACUCAGUGGGCUUCAUAUGAGGAUCUGAAAUACUCAGCAGCCAAAUUACUUAAGUUGUAUUGCUGGGAGGAGGGAACAAGGCAUGAAACUUGGGAAGCUCAGUCGCAAAAAAUCCUCUUGGAAGUCAAGCUGUAAAGCUUUAUAUGCACCUGAAGCAAAAACUCCCUCUUUCCCUGGCUGCUUCUGCCUGUGAAAAGAAAACAGGCAGGGCAGGUGAUUUGUGAAUGCUUUCUUGCUAGAUUUGAAAUCUCUGUCCUUAAUUGAAGCGGGGAAUGCAAUUGCACUGGUCAUUAAUAAUUACUGAUAAACCAAAGUAGUGAUGGAGCCAAAUAAAACCUCCUGCCACUAGGAUCAGAUUCUGCAAAAGAGACAGACCUGGCAGCUCCAGCCUGUCUGCAUUUCCUGUUUUUCGGUUGCUCCUAUGUUGGAAUCGCUGGGUUUCCAAACCGUGCGUGUACUCACAGUACAUGAUGUCUGUAUGUGCAGAUCAAGAGACAUGAACUUCAUCUACACAGACGGCAAAAAGCAGCUUGCAGUUACUUUAACAUGUGACCGGUCCCAAUUAUGGCUUCUUCCACAUGGCAUCAGUAUGCGAUGGAGGAUCUCACUCUUCUUUUGCCAGAGGCAAAUGAAUACAUUACCCAGCAGCGAGGCGUGGGGCAGUGGAUGCCUCACUCUGGGGUGAUUUGGAUUCCACACUCGCGUGGGGGUGUGAGCCAACCUCAGAAGUCAUUUUCACUGAUGCUGACACAUAAGGCUUCCCUCAGAGACCUGUCUAUCAAACUGCAACAUGCUAUGCAGAAAAAUUAAAUUACUCAUGCUACAAUAAA
rnacentral:lncRNA from 1 species